AUUGAACGCUGGCGGAAUGCUUUACACAUGCAAGUCGAACGGCAGCACGGGAGCAACCCUGGUGGCGAGUGGCGAACGGGUGAGUAAUACAUCGGAAUGUACCCAGUAGUGGGGGAUAACUAGUCGAAAGAUUAGCUAAUACCGCAUACGCACUAUGGUGGAAAGCGGGGGAUCGCAAGACCUCGCGCUAUUGGAGCAGCCGAUGUCCGAUUAGGUAGUUGGUGGGGUAAAAGCCUACCAAGCCUGCGAUCGGUAACUGGUCUGAGAGGACGACCAGUCACACUGGGACUGAGACACGGCCCAGACUCCUACGGGAGGCAGCAGUGGGGAAUUUUGGACAAUGGGGGAAACCCUGAUCCAGCAAUGCCGCGUGUGUGACGAAGGCC
rnacentral:rRNA from 1 species